rnacentral:rRNA from 1 species
GACGAACGCUGGCGGCGUGCUUAACACAUGCAAGUCGAACGGAAAGGCCCUGCUUUUGUGGGGUACUCGAGUGGCGAACGGGUGAGUAACAAGUGAGUAACCUGCCCUUGACUUUGGGAUAACUUCAGGAAACUGGGGCUAAUACCGGAUAGGAGCUCCUGCUGCAUGGUGGGGGUUGGAAAGUUUCGGCGGUUGGGGAUGGACUCGCGGCUUAUCAGCUUGUUGGUGGGGUAGUGGCUUACCAAGGCUUUGACGGGUAGCCGGCCUGAGAGGGUGACCGGCCACAUUGGGACUGAGAUACGGCCCAGACUCCUACGGGAGGCAGCAGUGGGGAAUAUUGCACAAUGGGCGGAAGCCUGAUGCAGCAACGCCGCGUGCGGGAUGACGGCCUUCGGGUUGUAAACCGCUUUCGCCUGUGACGAAGCGUGAGUGACGGUAAUGGGUAAAGAAGCACCGGCUAACUACGUG